AUAUUGGGCGUAAGGGCUCGCAGGCGGUUUCUUAAGUCUGAUGUGAAAGCCCCCGGCUCAACCGGGGAGGGUCAUUGGAAACUGGGAAACUUGAGUGCAGAAGAGGAGAGUGGAAUUCCACGUGUAGCGGUGAAAUGCGUAGAGAUGUGGAGGAACACCAGUGGCGAAGGCGACUCUCUGGUCUGUAACUGACGCUGAGGAGCGAAAGCGUGGGGAGCGAACAGGAUUAGAUACCCUGGUAGUCCACGCCGUAAACGAUGAGUGCUAAGUGUUAGGGGGUUUCCGCCCCUUAGUGCUGCAGCUAACGCAUUAAGCACUCCGCCUGGGGAGUACGGUCGCAAGACUGAAACUCAAAGGAAUUGACGGGGGCCCGCACAAGCGGUGGAGCAUGUGGUUUAAUUCGAAUCAACGCGAAGAACCUUACCAGGUCUUGA
rnacentral:rRNA from 1 species